UAUAUAUGUGCAUUAAAUUAAAUAGCAAUAAUAUUGUGAUAUCCCCAGAUAUCCAUGUUGUCACAUGGAAACAACCUGCACCUACAACUAACAACGAUAUAAGAAGGGAUGAGCAAGCGGUAACUUAGCCAAACAAUGGUUUGUUGGGAAGUUCGAGGGGUUAGAGGCCUAUCAUGGCAUUUUCGGGAGCCCUUACAAACUAGUGGUGGGAAGCAAUACAUAGCAAUAGAAACGAUACAACUAGAAUGACAAUGAUAGUACUGAUAUCGAGGGAAAUUGUCAUCUUACCUAAGAUCCUGCUUGGAACAAGAACAAAUGUGUGAAGUACGCGAACGGAGUGUAGUCGAACUAGUCCUCACACUCCGAACACUUUUGAAACUUUAGCAAGGAGAAGAAAAUCCAGAAACAAUCAAAUGAGAUGGUAAACACCACAACAUUUUCUUGGCAUGAUGCGCAAACAAAUGUGAUGCAUGUUUGGUUUAAAUAGGCAUAGCAUGCCCGAUGUAACAAUCAAAUACUACAAAUUAAGUGAAGCUCAAUAUGCAUCGAUUGCAUAGUGACAAAACUCCACGAUCAAUUUAUUUAGUUCACUCACAUUUAUGUACUCAACAAUUUAAAUGUUGUUAAGCAUGGCAAGUGGUGAAGCAUGAAUAUACUACACAUUUAGGC
rnacentral:lncRNA from 1 species